ensembl:lncRNA
GGAAGGCUGAGGGUUGUUAGGGGAUGCAGUAAGGCUGAGGGUUGUUAGGGGAUGCAGUAAGGCUGAGGGUUUUGAGGGAUGCAGGAAGGCUGAGGGUUGUUAGGGGAUGCAGUAAGGCUGAGGGUUGUGAGGGAUGCAGGAAGGCUGAGGGAUGUUAGGGGAUGCAGGAAGGCUGAGGGUUGUUAGGGGAUGCAGUAAGGCUGAGGGUUUUGAGGGAUGCAGGAAGGCUGAGGGUUGUUUGGGGAUGCAGUAAGGCUGAGGGUUUUGAGGGAUGCAGGAAGGCUGAGGGUUGUUAGGGGAUACAGUAAGACUGAGGGAUUUUAGGGGAUGCAGUAAG